rnacentral:rRNA from 1 species
AUUGAACGCUGGCGGCAUGCCUUACACAUGCAAGUCGAACGGCAGCACGGGUGCUUGCACCUGGUGGCGAGUGGCGAACGGGUGAGUAAUAUAUCGGAACGUACCUUAUUGUGGGGGAUAACGCAGCGAAAGCUGUGCUAAUACCGCAUAAUCCCUAAGGGGGAAAGCGGGGGACCGUAAGGCCUCGCGCAAUUAGAGCGGCCGAUACCUGAUUAGCUAGUUGGUGAGGUAAAGGCUCACCAAGGCAACGAUCAGUAGCUGGUCUGAGAGGACGAUAGGCCACACUGGGACUGAGACACGGCCCAGACUCCUACGGGAGGCAGCAGUGGGGAAUUUUGGAAGAUGGGGGCAACCCUGAUCCAGCAAUGCCGCGUGAGUGAAGAAGGCCUUCGGGUUGUAAAGCUCUUUUGUCAGGGAAGAAACAGCAGCUCUAACACAGUUUGCGAAUGACGGUACCUGAAGAAUAAGCACCGGCUAACUACGUGCCAGCAGCCGCCGUAA